GCGGGUUUAGCUCAGUUGGGAGAGCGUCAGACUGAAGCCAUACUUCAUCAUCGAUAUCUGAAGGUCAUGUGUUCGAUCCACAUAAACCGCA
rnacentral:tRNA from 1 species